UUGGUACCUGAACUUGACGUCU
rnacentral:miRNA from 1 species